AUUGAACGCUGGCGGCAUGCCUUACACAUGCAAGUCGAACGGCAGCACGGGAGCAAUCCUGGUGGCGAGUGGCGAACGGGUGAGUAAUAUAUCGGAACGUGCCCAGUAGUGGGGGAUAACUGCUCGAAAGAGCAGCUAAUACCGCAUACGACCUGAGGGUGAAAGGGGGGGAUCGCAAGACCUCUCGCUAUUGGAGCGGCCGAUAUCAGAUUAGCUAGUUGGUGGGGUAAAGGCCUACCAAGGCAACGAUCUGUAGUUGGUCUGAGAGGACGACCAGCCACGCUGGGACUGGAACACGGCCCAGACUCCUACGGGAGGCAGCAGUGGGGAAUUUUGGACAAUGGGCGCAAGCCUGAUCCAGCAAUGCCGCGUGCAGGAAGAAGGCCUUCGGGUUGUAAACUGCUUUUGUCAGGGAAGAAAUCCUCUAGGUUAAUACCCUUGGGGGGAUGACGGUACCUGAAGAAUAAGCACCGGCUAACUACGUGCCAGCCGCCGCGGUAAGAC
rnacentral:rRNA from 1 species